GACGAACGCUGGCGGCGUGCUUAACACAUGCAAGUCGAACGGUAAGGCCUUCGGGUACACGAGUGGCGAACGGGUGAGUAACACGUGGGUGAUCUGCCCCCUACUCUGGGAUAAGCCUGGGAAACUGGGUCUAAUACUGGAUAUGACCUCUUACUGCAUGGUUUGGGGUGGAAAGUUUUUCGGUAGGGGAUGAGCCCGCGGCCUAUCAGCUUGUUGGUGGGGUAAUGGCCUACCAAGGCGACGACGGGUAGCCGGCCUGAGAGGGCGACCGGCCACACUGGGACUGAGACACGGCCCAGACUCCUACGGGAGGCAGCAGUGGGGAAUAUUGCACAAUGGGCGGAAGCCUGAUGCAGCGACGCCGCGUGGGGGAUGACGGCCUUCGGGUUGUAAACCUCUUUCAGUAGGGACGAAGCGUGAGUGACGGUACCAGAGUAAUAGCACCGGCUAACUCCGUGCCAGCAGCCGCAGUAACAC
rnacentral:rRNA from 1 species